rnacentral:siRNA from 1 species
CAACUUUUUCAUUAAACUUUUGAC